CCUACGGGGGGCUGCAGUGGGGAAUAUUGGACAAUGGGGGGAACCCUGAUCCAGCCAUGCCGCGUGUGUGAAGAAGGCCCUCGGGUUGUAAGGCACUUUCAGUGAGGAAGAACGCCUGGUGGUUAAUACCCAUCAGGAAAGACAUCACUCACAGAAGAAGCACCGGCUAACUCCGUGCCAGCAGCCGCGGUAAUACGGAGGGUGCGAGCGUUAAUCGGAAUUACUGGGCGUAAAGCGCGCGUAGGUGGCUUGAUAAGCCGGUUGUGAAAGCCCCGGGCUCAACCUGGGAACGGCAUCCGGAACUGUCAAGCUAGAGUGCAGGAGAGGAAGGUAGAAUUCCCGGUGUAGCGGUGAAAUGCGUAGAGAUCGGGAGGAAUACCAGUGGCGAAGGCGGCCUUCUGGACUGACACUGACACUGAGGUGCGAAAGCGUGGGUAGCAAACAGGAUUAGAUACCCCGGUAGUC
rnacentral:rRNA from 1 species